AGAGUUUGAUCCUGGCUCAGAACGAACGCUGGCGGCAGGCCUAACACAUGCAAGUCGAGCGCCCGCAAGGGAGCGGCAGACGGGUGAGUAACGCGUGGGAACGUGCCCUUUGGUUCGGAAUAUUCCCGGGAAACUGGGAGCAAAACCGGAUAAGCCCUUCGGGGGAAAGUUUACGCCAAAGGAUCGGCCCGCGUUAGAUUAGGUAGUUGGUGGGGUAACGGCCUACCAAGCCUACGAUCUAUAGCUGAUCUGAGAGGAUGAUCAGCCACACUGGGACUGAGACACGGCCCAGACUCCUACGGGAGGCAGCAGUGGGGAAUCUUGGACAAUGGGCGCAAGCCUGAUCCAGCCAUGCCGCGUGGAUGACUGAAGGUCCUAGGGUUGUAAAGUCCUUUCGACGGGGACGAUAAUGACGGUACCCGUAGAAGAAGCCCCGGCUAACUUCGUGCCAGCAGCCGCGGUAAUACGAAGGGGGCUAGCGUUGUUCGGAUUUACUGGGCGUAAAGGGCGCGUAGGCGGAUUUUUAAGUCGGGGGUGAAAUCCCGGAGCUCAACUCCGGAACUGCCUUCGAUACUGGAAGUCUGGAGCACGGUAGAGGUGAGUGGAAUUCCGAGUGUAGCGGUGAAAUGCGUAGA
rnacentral:rRNA from 1 species